AGUCGAACGAUGAAGCACCAGCUUGCUGGUGUGGAUUAGUGGCGAACGGGUGAGUAACACGUGAGCAACCUGCCCCGGACUUUGGGAUAAGCGCUGGAAACGGCGUCUAAUACCGAAUAUGCACCAUGAAGGCAUCUUCAAUGGUGGGAAAGAUUUAUCGGUCCGGGAGGGGCUCGCGGCCUAUCAGCUUGUUGGUGAGGUAAUGGCUCACCAAGGCGUCGACGGGUAGCCGGCCUGAGAGGGUGACCGGCCACACUGGGACUGAGACACGGCCCAGACUCCUACGGGAGGCAGCAGUGGGGAAUAUUGCACAAUGGGCGCAAGCCUGAUGCAGCAACGCCGCGUGGGGGAUGACGGCCUUCGGGUUGUAAACCCCUUUUAGUAGGGAAGAAGCCUUCGGGUGACGGUACCUGCAGAAAAAGCGCCGGCUAACUACGUGCCAGCAGCCGCGGUAAUACGUAGGGCGCAAGCGUUAUCCGGAAUUAUUGGGCGUAAAGAGCUCGUAGGCGGCUUGUCGCGUCUGCUGUGAAAACUGGAGGCUCAACUUCCAGCGUGCAGUGGGUACGGGCAGGCUAGAGUGCGGUAGGGGAGAUUGGAAUUCCUGGUGUAGCGGUGGAAUGCGCAGAUAUCAGGAGGAACACCGAUGGCGAAGGCAGAUCUCUGGGCCGUAACUGACGCUGAGGAGCGAAAGAGUGGGGAGCGAACAGGCUUAGAUACCCUGGUAGUCCACUCCGUAAACGUUGGGAACUAGUUGUGGGGGCCUUUCCACGGUCUCCGUGACGCAGCUAACGCAUUAAGUUCCCCGCCUGGGGAGUACGGCCGCAAGGCUAAAACUCAAAGGAAUUGA
rnacentral:rRNA from 1 species